rnacentral:rRNA from 1 species
GACGAACGCUGGCGGCAUGCUUAACACAUGCAAGUCGAGCGGUAAGGCCCUUUCGGGGGUACACGAGCGGCGAACGGGUGAGUAACACGUGGGUGACCUGCCCUUAGCUCUGGGAUAAGCCUGGGGAAACUGGGUCUAAUACCGGAUAUGACUCCAUGACGCAUGUUGUGGGGUGGAAAGCCUUGUGCGGCUAGGGAUGGGCCCGCGGCCUAUCAGCUUGUUGGUGGGGUGAUGGCCACCAAGGCGACGACGGGUAGCCGGCCUGAGAGGGCGACCGGCCACACUGGGACUGAGAUACGGCCCAGACUCCUACGGGAGGCAGCAGGUGGGGGAUCGUUGCGCAAUGGGCGAAAGCCUGACGCAGCGACGCCGCGUGCGGGAAGAAGGCCUUC